CAAGUACUCCCUCCGUCCAACAAAGGAUGUCUCAAGUUUGUCAAAAUUUAGAUGUAUCUAGACAUAACUUAGUGUAUAAAUGCAUUCAAAUUUAGUGAAAAUUGAGACAUCCUUUAUUGGCGGAGGGAAUAUAUU
rfam:Brachypodium distachyon strain Bd21 chromosome 2, whole genome shotgun sequence.